UACGUAGGGUGCGAGCGUUGUCCGGAAUUACUGGGCGUAAAGAGCUCGUAGGUGGUUUGUCGCGUUGUUCGUGAAAACUCACAGCUUAACUGUGGGCGUGCGGGCGAUACGGGCAGACUGGAGUACUGCAGGGGAGACUGGAAUUCCUGGUGUAGCGGUGGAAUGCGCAGAUAUCAGGAGGAACACCGGUGGCGAAGGCGGGUCUCUGGGCAGUAACUGACGCUGAGGCGCGAUAGCGUGGGGAUCAAACAGG
rnacentral:rRNA from 1 species